rnacentral:tRNA from 1 species
GCCGCAGUAGCUCAGUGGUAGAGCGCACCCUUGGUAAGGGUGAGGUCGGAAGUUCAAUCCUUCUCUGCGGCACCA